rnacentral:rRNA from 1 species
GAUGAACGCUGGCGGCGUGCCUAAUACAUGCAAGUCGAGCGAACAGACGAGGAGCUUGCUCCUCUGACGUUAGCGGCGGACGGGUGAGUAACACGUGGAUAACCUACCUAUAAGACUGGGAUAACUUCGGGAAACCGGAGCUAAUACCGGAUAAUAUAUUGAACCGCAUGGUUCAAUAGUGAAAGACGGUUUUGCUGUCACUUAUAGAUGGAUCCGCGCCGCAUUAGCUAGUUGGUAAGGUAACGGCUUACCAAGGCGACGAUGCGUAGCCGACCUGAGAGGGUGAUCGGCCACACUGGAACUGAGACACGGUCCAGACUCCUACGGGAGGCAGCAGUAGGGAAUCUUCCGCAAUGGCGAAAGCCUGACGGAGCAACGCCGCGUGAGUGAUGAAGGUCUUCGGAUCGUAAAACCCUGUUAUUAGGGAAGAACAAAUGUGUAAGUAACUAUGCACGUCUUGACGGUACCUAAUCAGAAAGCCACGGCUAACUACGUG